AGCGAAAGCUUACAUUAUUAACGCUGGACAAUGCGCUGCUAUACCUUUCGGGCAGCAAGUAAGCUGUACCGGCUUGCUCAAUUUCUAGAAACACGCCAUGAAACUACUGACCUGCCUUAUAGUUCUGUUGUCCUGCGCCCAUUACACACUUGGUAUCAAAUACAUCAUCCUAAAGCACUGCCUGACACCACAAGCUGUCCGCACAUGCAGAGAACACGCACAAUCUUGGGGUAUUGAUGCUGUAACAAGGGUGUGCAAGUUAUUCACUUCCGACGCUUGCAGUUCAACAAAUCAUAGCACGUUUGUUUCAGAGGCAGCCUGUCAGCGUAUAUGCUUACUCCCAUCAUACAGAAAACUCGUGUGCAGCCUCACGCCGAAACCAGGCCCUUGCUCAGCGCUUAAUAGAACGUGGGUCUUCGAUUCCGAAACUGGUUUCUGUAAAAAUCUUGGUGCCAAAAUAUGCGGCACAAACUCGAAUGCCUUUCCUUCCUGCAAAACGUGCACGCACAGAUGCAGUGAUAGGCAUGAACACGCGGUCUGUGGCCUGCCUCAUCAUACGAUACCAAACACGAAGAAAAAUCAGAAACGGCACACAGACCAGUUGGAAGGAAAACACCGAGGACUAGGGCCAGACUAAGCAGGUAUCAAACAGUUCAUCUUCAAGUACUGCAUGACAUCGCAAACGGCCCGUGUAUGCAGAGAACACGCACAGUCUUGGGGUAUUGAUUUCGUAACAAGAGCGUGCAAGCUAUUCUCUCCUGACACUUGCACUUUAACGAACCAAACCAAGUUUGUGUCAGAGAAGGCGUGUCAGCAUAUGUGCGUACCCCCACCACAACGAAAACUUAUAUGCAGCUUGAUGCCAAAACCUGGCCCCUGCUCAUCUCUUAAUAAGACUUGGUACUUUGAUCCCACAAGUGACUCCUGUAAAAGUUUUGUUGGCGCAAAAUGCGGAGCAAAUCCUAACGCCUUUCCCUCGUGCAAGGUGUGCUCGCACAGAUGCAGUCAUAGCAAUGCCAUUGCAGUCUGUGGCCUGCCCCAUCAUCCACAACCGAAGCCGAAGAAAAAGGAGGGACACGCCGAAAGGGUGGAGAGAAAGCACGGACACAUCGGGCCAGACUAGGCAGGGGACUGGCGUUAUUUCCCGCAAUCCUAAUAUUAAUAUCUGGGGGUUUAACGUCCCAAAACCACGAUAUGAUUAUGAGGGACGCAGCAGUGGAAGGCUCUGGAAAUUUCUACCAUGUGGGGCUCUUUAAGGGGUACCUAAAUCUAAAUAUACGGGCCUCAAAAAUUUUUGCCGCCAUCGAAAAUGCAGCCGCCGAGGCCGGCAUAGGCGUGCG
rnacentral:misc_RNA from 1 species